UUUGAAGAACAAUGGCUCGGAAGAGUUUGUCAUAGGCUCCAGAAGGGAUGACGGAAAGGUGUAUGCAGGCUGUGGCUCCUGGAUUAAUGAAAAAGCCUGGGGAUGUUUCUUCAGCGCUUCAACAGACUCUAUGUUCUGUAGAAGUGCUGCUACUGUAUUUUAGACUCCCGAACAAUUGAAAACCAGGAGUGUCACUGGAACACUUUCGAACAAGGCACGGCAUCUCAGCUACACUGAGGCAAAGCCAGCGCUGACACCAGAGAAAGUAUCUUCUCUAAAGGCAUUGUUCGCCAUCUACAUGGGUGACAUGCCAAAGGAGGUGUCGGACAAGAGAAUGAAGGCGGCCGAAAACACUUGUCGCAGAAGCUCGGCGAUAUGCAGCGGCGCCGAAUUCUGCGAAUGCAUGUUGAAAUAAACUAGCUUGAGCCUUCAGGUUCCACACGUCGCAUCAAUGCCUACUCUCGUGCUAUGCUGAACAUAAGCUGUGAUGUCCUGCAACUUUGUUGCCUUUUUGACUUUCUUGUUGCAGCUCGCAAAGAAAGAGUAAUAGGGCACUAACAAGAUGACAUAGGAUGGGACAAGC